UCUUCUUCGAUGAAGAGCGAAGUCAUUAAUCGGAAUUAGGAAAUCCUUAGAUCGCAUCGGAGGAUUUCUGUAAUUUGAGGUGAGUCAUCUCAGAUCUAUGCGCCGUUCCUCAUCUCGAUUUCUCGCUUCUUCUGCACUGAUUUGAGCUUUUU